rnacentral:rRNA from 1 species
GGUUAAGCGACUAAGCGUACACGGUGGAUGCCCUGGCAGUCAGAGGCGAUGAAGGACGUGCUAAUCUGCGAUAAGCGUCGGUGAGGUGAUAUGAACCGUUAUAACCGGCGAUUUCCGAAUGGGGAAACCCAGUGUGUUUCGACACACUAUCAUUAACUGAAUCCAUAGGUUAAUGAGGCGAACCGGGGGAACUGAAACAUCUAAGUACCCCGAGGAAAAGAAAUCAACCGAGAUUCCCCCAGUAGCGGCGAGCGAACGGGGAGGAGCCCAGAGCCUGAAUCAGUGUGUGUGUUAGUGGAAGCGUCUGGAAAGGCGCGCGAUACAGGGUGACAGCCCCGUACACAAAAAUGCACAUAUUGUGAGCUCGAUGAGUAGGGCGGGACACGUGGUAUCCUGUCUGAAUAUGGGGGGACCAUCCUCCAAGGCUAAAUACUCCUGACUGACCGAUAGUGAACCAGUACCGUGAGGGAAAGGCGAAAAGAACCCCGGCGAGGGGAGUGAAAAAGAACCUGAAACCGUGUACGUACAAGCAGUGGGAGCCUCUUUAUGGGGUGACUGCGUACCUUUUGUAUAAUGGGUCAGCGACUUAUAUUCUGUAGCAAGGUUAACCGAAUAGGGGAGCCGAAGGGAAACCGAGUCUUAACUGGGCGUUAAGUUGCAGGGUAUAGACCCGAAACCCGGUGAUCUAGCCAUGGGCAGGUUGAAGGUUGGGUAACACUAACUGGAGGACCGAACCGACUAAUGUUGAAAAAUUAGCGGAUGACUUGUGGCUGGGGGUGAAAGGCCAAUCAAACCGGGAGAUAGCUGGUUCUCCCCGAAAGCUAUUUAGGUAGCGCCUCGUGAAUUCAUCUCCGGGGGUAGAGCACUGUUUCGGCAAGGGGGUCAUCCCGACUUACCAACCCGAUGCAAACUGCGAAUACCGGAGAAUGUUAUCACGGGAGACACACGGCGGGUGCUAACGUCCGUCGUGAAGAGGGAAACAACCCAGACCGCCAGCUAAGGUCCCAAAGUCAUGGUUAAGUGGGAAACGAUGUGGGAAGGCCCAGACAGCCAGGAUGUUGGCUUAGAAGCAGCCAUCAUUUAAAGAAAGCGUAAUAGCUCACUGGUCGAGUCGGCCUGCGCGGAAGAUGUAACGGGGCUAAACCAUGCACCGAAGCUGCGGCAGCGACACUAUGUGUUGUUGGGUAGGGGAGCGUUCUGUAAGCCUGUGAAGGUGGCCUGUGAGGGUUGCUGGAGGUAUCAGAAGUGCGAAUGCUGACAUAAGUAACGAUAAAGCGGGUGAAAAGCCCGCUCGCCGGAAGACCAAGGGUUCCUGUCCAACGUUAAUCGGGGCAGGGUGAGUCGACCCCUAAGGCGAGGCCGAAAGGCGUAGUCGAUGGGAAACAGGUUAAUAUUCCUGUACUUGGUGUUACUGCGAAGGGGGGACGGAGAAGGCUAUGUUGGCCGGGCGACGGUUGUCCCGGUUUAAGCGUGUAGGCUGGUUUUCCAGGCAAAUCCGGAAAACCAAGGCUGAGGCGUGAUGACGAGGCACUACGGUGCUGAAGCGACAAAUGCCCUGCUUCCAGGAAAAGCCUCUAAGCAUCAGGUAACAUCAAAUCGUACCCCAAACCGACACAGGUGGUCAGGUAGAGAAUACCAAGGCGCUUGAGAGAACUCGGGUGAAGGAACUAGGCAAAAUGGUGCCGUAACUUCGGGAGAAGGCACGCUGAUAUGUAGGUGAAGCGACUUGCUCGUGGAGCUGAAAUCAGUCGAAGAUACCAGCUGGCUGCAACUGUUUAUUAAAAACACAGCACUGUGCAAACACGAAAGUGGACGUAUACGGUGUGACGCCUGCCCGGUGCCGGAAGGUUAAUUGAUGGGGUUAGCGGUAACGCGAAGCUCUUGAUCGAAGCCCCGGUAAACGGCGGCCGUAACUAUAACGGUCCUAAGGUAGCGAAAUUCCUUGUCGGGUAAGUUCCGACCUGCACGAAUGGCGUAAUGAUGGCCAGGCUGUCUCCACCCGAGACUCAGUGAAAUUGAACUCGCUGUGAAGAUGCAGUGUACCCGCGGCAAGACGGAAAGACCCCGUGAACCUUUACUAUAGCUUGACACUGAACAUUGAGCCUUGAUGUGUAGGAUAGGUGGGAGGCUUUGAAGUGUGGACGCCAGUCUGCAUGGAGCCGACCUUGAAAUACCACCCUUUAAUGUUUGAUGUUCUAACGUUGGCCCGUAAUCCGGGUUGCGGACAGUGUCUGGUGGGUAGUUUGACUGGGGCGGUCUCCUCCUAAAGAGUAACGGAGGAGCACGAAGGUUGGCUAAUCCUGGUCGGACAUCAGGAGGUUAGUGCAAUGGCAUAAGCCAGCUUGAUUGCGAGCGUGACGGCGCGAGCAGGUGCGAAAGCAGGUCAUAGUGAUCCGGUGGUUCUGAAUGGAAGGGCCAUCGCUCAACGGAUAAAAGGUACUCCGGGGAUAACAGGCUGAUACCGCCCAAGAGUUCAUAUCGACGGCGGUGUUUGGCACCUCGAUGUCGGCUCAUCACAUCCUGGGGCUGAAGUAGGUCCCAAGGGUAUGGCUGUUCGCCAUUUAAAGUGGUACGCGAGCUGGGUUUAGAACGUCGUGAGACAGUUCGGUCCCUAUCUGCCGUGGGCGCUGGAGAACUGAGGGGGGCUGCUCCUAGUACGAGAGGACCGGAGUGGACGCAUCACUGGUGUUCGGGUUGUCAUGCCAAUGGCACUGCCCGGUAGCUAAAUGCGGAAGAGAUAAGUGCUGAAAGCAUCUAAGCACGAAACUUGCCCCGAGAUGAGUUCUCCCUGAGACUUAGAGUCUCCUGAAGGAACGUUGAAGACGACGACGUUGAUAGGCCGGGUGUGUAAGCGCAGCGAUGCGUUGAGCUAACCGGUACUAAUGAACCGUGAGGCUUAACCUU